rnacentral:misc_RNA from 1 species
GUGGGAUUGGGCUCAAGGGUAGAAUUCCCUGAUACGGCUAAAUCACUGCCCUGUUGCGGCAACAAUUGGUGGUUGCCCUGCUUUUCAAGGUCGAGCUCAGGUGAGAGCGAAUUAUCACACUGGUCACUACCAGCUGUGGUGCUUUCUUUGUUGAAGCCAUCAUUCUUCAUCUGAUCUUGGAGAGAGCGGAGAUUGGUUUCGGUUUAGAUAGAAGAAAAUCACUUUAUUUCUUACUAAACAGAUAACCAAACAUGGGGUUGGUCAUGGAAAUGGAAAAGGAAACGGUAGAG